AGAUGUGUAGGAAAGCUGGUUAAGACAUCUGUCACUCUGUUUGAUCUCUAGGGUUGACUUCACUGAUCUGAUGGGCUAGGCAGGUGACCCCAUCCUCCUCCAUUGCUCUCUGUGUGCCCUUCCUAAUGCCACUUGGACCUUCCAUGGAGCAGACAGAUCAGUUCUUUACUCUAGAUUAUACAAACAGCUAGUCUCCCUGAUUAAAACCUCCAAACAAGGUCUCAGUACUUACUUCCUUACUAUUACUAUUUACUAACUCAUCAUUUCAAGAUUUUGUCAUUGUUGCUGCAUAUUUGAGUAGCACAUUUUGCA
rnacentral:snRNA from 1 species